rnacentral:rRNA from 1 species
GACGAACGCUGGCGGCGUGCCUAAUACAUGCAAGUCGAACGAGAGCGACCGGUGCUUGCACUGGUCAAUCUAGUGGCGGACGGGUGAGUAACACGUGGGUAACCUGCCCAUCAGAGGGGGAUAACAUCCGGAAACGGAUGCUAAAACCACAUAGGUCUUCGAACCGCAUGGUUUGAAGAGGAAAAGAGGCGCAAGCUUCUGCUGAUGGAUGGUCCCGCGGUGCAUUAGCUAGUUGGUGAGGUAACGGCUCACCAAGGCCGUGAUGCAUAGCCGACCUGAGAGGGUGAUCGGCCACAUUGGGACUGAGACACGGCCCAAACUCCUACGGGAGGCAGCAGUAGGGAAUCUUCCGCAAUGGACGCAAGUCUGACGGAGCAACGCCGCGUGAGUGAAGAAGGUUUUCGGAUCGUAAAACUCUGUUGUUAGAGAAGAACAAGUGCUAGAGUAACUGUUAGCGCCUUGACGGUAUCUAACCAGAAAGCCACGGCUAACUACGUG